GUCCACACCGUAAACGCUGUCUACUAGCUGUUUGUGAAUUUAAUUCGUGAGUAGCGAAGCUAACGCGCUAAGUAGACCGCCUGGGGAGUACGGCCGCAAGGUUAAAACUCAAAUGAAUUGACGGGGGCCCGCACAAGCGGUGGAGCAUGUGGUUUAAUUCGAUGCAACGCGAAGAACCUUACCUACACUUGACAUGCAGAGAACUUUCCAGAGAUGGAUUGGUGCCUUCGGGAACUCUGACACAGGUGCUGCAUGGCU
rnacentral:rRNA from 1 species